GACGAACGCUGGCGGCGUGCCUAAUACAUGCAAGUCGAGCGGACUUUCAAGAAGCUUGCUUUUUGAAAGUUAGCGGCGGACGGGUGAGUAACACGUGGGCAACCUGCCUGCAAGACGGGGAUAACUCCGGGAAACCGGGGCUAAUACCGGAUAAUAUCUUCCUUCGCAUGAAGGAAGGUUGAAAGGCGGCGCAAGCUGCCGCUUGCAGAUGGGCCCGCGGCGCAUUAGCUAGUUGGUGAGGUAACGGCUCACCAAGGCGACGAUGCGUAGCCGACCUGAGAGGGUGAUCGGCCACACUGGGACUGAGACACGGCCCAGACUCCUACGGGAGGCAGCAGUAGGGAAUCUUCCGCAAUGGACGAAAGUCUGACGGAGCAACGCCGCGUGAGCGAAGGAGGUCUUCGGAUCGUAAAGCUCUGUUGUCAGGGAAGAACAAGUACCGUUCGAACAGGGCGGUACCUUGACGGUACCUGACCAGAAAGCCACGGCUAACUACGUG
rnacentral:rRNA from 1 species